AACGAACGCUGGCGGCAGGCCUAACACAUGCAAGUCGAGCGAGGUAGCAAUACCUAGCGGCGGACGGGUGAGUAACGCGUGGGAACGUGCCCUUUGCUACGGAAUAGCCCCGGGAAACUGGGAGUAAUACCGUAUGUGCCCUUCGGGGGAAAGAUUUAUCGGCAAAGGAUCGGCCCGCGUUGGAUUAGGUAGUUGGUGGGGUAAUGGCCUACCAAGCCGACGAUCCAUAGCUGGUUUGAGAGGAUGAUCAGCCACACUGGGACUGAGGCACGGCCCAGACUCCUACGGGAGGCAGCAGUGGGGAAUCUUAGACAAUGGGGGAAACCCUGAUCUGGCCAUGCCGCGUGAGCGAUGAAGGCCUUAGGGUUGUAAAGCUCUUUCAGGUGGGAAGAUAAUGACGGUACCACCAGAAGAAGCCCCGGCUAACUCCGUGCCAGCAGCCGCUGUAAGAC
rnacentral:rRNA from 1 species